UGGGGAAUUUUGGACAAUGGGCGCAAGCCUGAUCCAGCCAUGCCGCGUGCGGGAAGAAGGCCUUUGGGUUGUAAACCGCUUUUGUCAGGGAAGAAAUCCUUUGAGCUAAUACCUCGGGGGGAUGACGGUACCUGAAGAAUAAGCACCGGCUAACUACGUGCCAGCAGCCGCGGUAAUACGAAGGGUGCAAGCGUUACUCGGAAUUACUGGGCGUAAAGCGUGCGUAGGUGGUCGUUUAAGUCUGUUGUGAAAGCCCUGGGCUCAACCUGGGAACUGCAGUGGAGACUGGACGACUAGAGUGUGGUAGAGGGUAGCGGAAUUCCUGGUGUAGCAGUGAAAUGCGUAGAUAUGCGGAGGAACACCGAUGGCGAAGGCAAUCCCCUGGACCUGUACUGACGCUCAUGCACGAAAGCGUGGAGAGCAAACA
rnacentral:rRNA from 1 species